CCCCAAUCCUUCAGCCUUGACAAACAGCAUUCCAGCAGCAGAUUCUCCAAAUUGAUUGGCCAAGGGAAGGGACACUAGAGUAUAUAAAGCCUGGGCUAAAGAACACCCAUUUAUCUAAACCAAAUGAUUAAAUUUGGUUUAGAUAAAAAACUAAACAGUAGUAAAAGUUCUUCACAAAGUCGACGCGCAGGGGAGGGAUCUAUCAGCAAAAUUUCAAAAUUUAUAAUGAGUAAAAAACACAAGCUCACUUCAGAAAGUAAACCUUGUAUCCAAGAAGCUGGUGGAGGAAUACCUCUGGAGGUCCAAACAAACAAGAUUUUGGAAACAAAACAUAUUGGAAAUAUAAAUUCAACUAACAUCUUAAAUGAAGUUGAACAACAAAGGCAUAAGACGAUAGAUCCCUCCCUGUUCAAAAAUUUUAUUGAUUCAAUUUGUAAGAAGUAUACAACUACUGGGAAAGAUGACCACAAGAAGAAGGAUACAUCGUCUGACCCGAAGAACCAAAUGAAUCAAACUAGAAAGAAGAGAAUGGAAAAGUGCAUAGCUAUAAUGUUGAAAGAGCUAGUAACAAGAGUAGAAAAUGUGUAUUCUGAUACAUCAUGGAACUCAUACAUAGAAAUUUCAAAUGAAAAAUGCAGCCAAUCUGCAUUUGCCAUUAUCUGCAUGGAAGAUAAUACGCUAAAGAUCUUUGACGAGGUUCGUCCAUAUAUUCCAACAAAAAAAUGUCAAAGAACAAAUCACAAUACAAACACAAGACAUAGUGAAGAAAUUUUACUUGAUGACAUGAAUACAUUUUUAGCACAAGAUAAAAAAGUUAAAUGGAUAUUUUUAAAUUCAUAUAAUAGUCCAUGUUUUGAAAGGGAUGAUCAAAUUGAGGGUUGUAUGUUUUUGAUUUUAAGCAACGCUUAUGAAUGGUAUGUAAAAUAUGAUGCUAUCACAGUUUUGACAUACACAAAACCUUGGGGACUUUGUGGACCAGGUUACUUUAAUGAGCUUUCAUCUAAAGACAUCAUGAAUCCUAAGAGUCCUUUCAAGUCUUGUGUUGAGGAAUAUGAGAUUCGCUAUGAAUUGGAUUGUGAGAAUUUAAAUAAAAAAUUAAAAAAUAAUAAAAUAUUGAAGCAAUAUUCAUGUGGUGAAGAUAGUAAGAAUAUUAAAUUUGCUCGAGAAGCUCUAGUGGAGCUGGCUGCAGAAUUACCUCGGCUGCGUAAAGCUUUCUUGGAGCUUGGAGAUAAGAAAAUUGAUUCUUUCAUAUUUCUAUCAGAGAAAAUUAAACCUAUUCUGAAGAAGUUGUGGAGAGAAAAUGUUAACAAUAGUUUUGUGUCAUUGCUUAAAGAAUAUAUUACAACAAUAUUUAACAAAAAAGUAGUUGAUCUUUUUACACAGGAGCUAGAGUCACAACUUGGAAUCAGCAGCUUCAUCCAGCUUCACCAGCUUCCUCCAGUAAAAUUAAAAGAUGAAUACAGACAAAUCUUUUAAAUUCAGAUUUGUAUUUUGUCUAUGAUUAAAUAAAACAGAAUUGUAAUAACCAACUCUGGUAUUUUUUUCCUCAUCAACAAAUUGUACACUAUCUUCCUGCUUACACAUUUAAAGCAAUGAUACAAAGAUGGAUGAGAACAAAACACUUUUAAAUUCUAGUUUUUGGGCAAAGUUUUAUGAUUUUUUUAAAAAAAUCAUACUGUCUUUCUUCACUGAGGCUGUUCAGAAAGAUUUAACAGGUACACAGAGUUCUGUAAAGAAACCAUAAUGGACACAAUGCAGAGAAACACAAAAAAAUUGUGUUUUUUUAUUAGUAUUUUAAUUACCAUUACGAGACUUUGUUAGGUACCAUUGUGCUGUCACAUGAAAUUAUUAUUUUGAUAUGGAGCUUUGAGAGUUGGCACUAACAACAUACAAAUAAACAUCCCUGUAUACAAGACUAUAUGUAAAAAUGACACAAGAUAAAAACACAGAGUGACAUCCUCUUAACACAAGAUAUAUUUUCAG
ensembl:lncRNA